GAAGAGUUUAUUCGAGCUAGAAUGCGAAAUAGCCAAUGAUAUUCCUUAAGAGAGGCAACAAGUGAAACCACAAGAGGUGCAUUUGUAUGUCACCAUAUGGCUACACCUGCCCUACACGGGCGUUAUAAUUUAUUUUGGACCAAUAAUUUGCGUUCUUGGAACGUACAUCUGAAGAAAAGUGAAUCAGCCGAGGUCAGAGCUGUGAUCUCCGAAAAUUCUUUUAAUCCCCAAGUCAACCUAAAAACAGCUAAUGUUGAGGUACAACUUUAUGAAAGCUUACGACAAACUGAUGGGAGCGAAGCACUGCUUUGGCUAUUGGGCCCUGAACCAGAAAGAUCUGAAGAAAAUCUACUUCACAGUGUCGAAGAACUAUUAGUGUCCGAGGACUAUUUAAAUGGCCCAUCAAUAUAACAGUUUGUGGGUCAGUUUUUCACCAAAAGUGAAUCAGAUUUUGCAUUAGGCGGUGCAAUUUUUUAUUGUAGAAUAUAUUUUUUUUGUUUUGAAAUAAAUUGGUCUUUAAAUUGU